rnacentral:rRNA from 1 species
AUAAUGUUAAGACUUUUUUUGAGUCGUGCAGCAAUAU